AGGUGAACCUGCGGAAGGAUCAUUAACUAUUAUUUUUGCUUUUUUGGUGGUGUUUUUUUUUUUUGCGCCCCAUUAAAGUUAAUUUUCUGUGCACUGUGUCCCUUUGGAUGGGAAAAGGAUAUCUUUUAUUUCUUUUCAUUGGGAUUUUUUUUUCUUGUUUGUUACCGUUUGUUGUUGUUUGUUUGGUUGGGUUGGUGGAAUUUUUUCCCCCUACUUUAUAUACAAUGACGUGGAAGAAAAAAGAAAAAAGAAAAAAAUGUAUUUUAUCAUUCUGGUUGAUUUUUUUUUUAAAAUAAUUUAUUAAAAUUAUUUAAAUAAAGACAACUUUCAGCAAUGGAUCUCUUGGCUCUUG
rnacentral:misc_RNA from 1 species